UACGAAGGGGGCUAGCGUUGUUCGGAAUUACUGGGCGUAAAGCGUAUGUAGGCGGAUCGUUAAGUCGGGGGUGAACUCCCGAGGCUCAACCUCGGAACUGCCUUCGAUACUGGCGAUCUUGAGUCCAGGAGAGGUGAGUGGAACUGCGAGUGUAGAGGUGAAAUUCGUAGAUAUUUGCAAGAACACCAGUGGCGAAGGCGGCUAACUGGUCCGGUACUGACGCUGAGGUGCGAAAGCGUGGGGAGCAAACAGG
rnacentral:rRNA from 1 species